GAGGAGAGAAAAGAAGAAAAAAAAGCCCAGCGCCCCGCACGAUCCUGCCUCCUCGAUCCCAUCUCCACCUCCAUCCCGCCGCCACAUCCUGCCCCGCGCCGCCUCGACCGGGACCGCGCCCCUCCCCAAACGACGACGAUGAUGGAGGGCGGCGCCCAGCACCUGGCCGACAGAUUCGCCGGCUCCCCGCUCCUCGGGGCCAGCCCCUCCCCCGUGCCAGGUCGAGCAUCGGCUUGGAGGCCCACACACGAGCACGGGUUCGCUCGAUCCGUCCGGGUAGGGCGCCGCCGGCGGUCUUCUUCUCCGGCCAUCCGUCGUCGGCGGCCGUUCUUCCUGCUCCCGUGCCUCUGAUUUGGAUCGAGGUCGCGGUGGUAGUGGUUCGGCGGCGGUGGCGGCGUUGGGAGCAGCGGCGGCGGGUGGUGGGGUCCGGCAGCGGGUGCAGGGGCUAUGGCGCGGUGAUGGGGAGCUGCAGAUCUGUGUCCAUGGCCGGACCACCGCGGACAGGGGUUUCUUCCCGGAUUGUUGAUGAAUAUACUUGGGGAUUCAUGAUUCUUGCAUCCCAUGAUGUGACGCGAGAUUCGUUGGGAUUUUGGGCGAGAGAGAUGGGGUGCGAUUUGGGGGGAUCACGCCUCGGAUUCUUGGGGUCGCCGGGAAUGCGGUGAUUGAAGGAGAAGACGGUGGAGGGAGAGAGGGAGGAAGGGAGGAGGAGGGGGAGGCUGCGAUGGGAUACGUUGGGGAUGCCCACUGAACGUUGGUGUCCUUCUGAACACAAAUCCAUGGAGUGCCCAACCCGGAUUUCAAAGGGACUUGGCUGGUUCGAUACUACCAAUUCCUUGGGUGCUGAUUUUGAGGGGGGCUUCUAGAUUGAGAUCGAGUGAGAGGGGGUUGACGAGGAGAGAGCAGUCAGGUGGCGGUGGCGGCGGUGACUUGGAGCACAGUCCAGCGACGGCGGCCUUUCGGGAGUAGGAGUGAGAUAGCGGCUGGGCAUCGCGGGGUUCAGUGGUUGGAGAGGAUAAGGGGGACGGCAGCUGCACUCGGCACCAUGGGACACCCAACGUGGUUGGAGAGGAUAAGGUUGAUGGCUGAUUUCUUUGUUCGGCUUUGUUGUGUGGUCAAUGGUUUCACAUCCUUCUUAAUCCCUUGCCAUGAGGCAAUAAAUCGCAAAAGAGCAGACACCACCCUAUGCUCCACCUUCCAUGUACAUGUAUUCUUCUUCGGACCCUGAACCGAAGGCUUCUUCCGGUCCUUAUCAAGGUACGGCUGAUAGGUGGUUUCACCGCGGAGCUCCCUCGCCGUCAGUACAGCGACGCUUGAUCGAUCGUGCCGCAGCUCAUCACCUUGCAUCGCCCUCCCACCACUGCUUCUCUCUGAUCUUGGUCAGAUGUUCUGGUUGAUGUGCAAGGAGAUGAGAGGGCAAGCUAGGGGAAUGGAAUUAGAGAGACGAUUGUAGAGCGGCAUCAUUGUUGUCCCUGUUGCUUUAUUCUUUUCUUAGUCAAGUGGUUACUUUACCUUCAUCAGUCCAUCUUCACACUUUUGAUUGUCUCAGCUUAGCUUGCAGUUCCAGCUUAGAUUUGUCAGUUUUAUGGGUUAGCCAGAUUGUUCAAAUAUUUGUCGUCCAAUUUAUUUAUAAUCUAACUGUGCAAAUGUUUGGUUGAUUCACAAUUUUCUCAUCCUUUCACCGCUUGUGUUUAUCAGGUCUGGAGAUAUGAACCAAUCACCCAGAUACCUUUACUAGGCUGAUGCAUAUGGAGCUUGCAAUCAGAUCCAAAAUAUGGAGCUGUCUAACAAAAGCAGGGCACCAAUAUUGAUGGCAAGUCAAUUGCAGAGGACAUAAAGUUACAGAUUGCUGAACAAUUUCGUCGAAUGAAAAAGGCAGUUGCACAUGUUCCUGGAUUAGCUAUUGUAUUGGUAGGCGAUAGAAGGGACUCUCAAUCCCAUGUGGGAUUUAAACUGAAGGGUUGUGAGGAAGUUGGGAUAAAAUCUUUGUUGUCGGAGUUGCCUUAGAACUGCACAAAAGACGAGGUGGUGGAUUCAGCAUCAAGAUUAAGUGGAGACCUAUCUGUUCAUCGCAUCCUUGUGCCGCUACCACUACCACAAGUAAUGGGGGCGAUGAGCCCGGGCUCAGAAAUGGAUAUUUGGAUGUAAUGGUCUUUGUUUUAGUAUUUUUUUUCCAGCCAAAAACUGUUGCCAAAAGUGGGAGACGGCUCAUAGGAGAGGGGCAAUUGUUUCUUGUGCCCAACGUAUAGUAGAAAUCAUCAGCUGUUGUUUGUUCAAAAAGCAUGAACUUAACUUCUGCAAGAACAAUUCAAUAUCAGACUGCAUUUUCAUUGUUUCAAACAGUUUAGCUACACUUAUACAGAGUUCAAUUCAAAGUGAACGUUGAUUCAAGACAGUAAGAUAGAUCACACUUCAUUAUUUUGUGAAAGAAAUGCACCUUAAGUUGAGAUAGUUUUUGUGACAUAUAUCAGGUGCUCUGGUGACACUAAAUUUUUAUCCCGUUGUAACGCACGGGCAUAUGUGCGUAUACGUAUACCUUUUUCGUGAGGUUAUCUUCUCCACCUUAUAUUUGCAUGGCCGGCCCGUGUUGCAACUCACGGACUGUUAUGAAUCGGCGCCCUGAUCUGAUCGUGUCACAAACUCCUCUUCUUGUUGAUCGAUCGGGACUCUGCAAUC